GAUGAAGAACGUAGCGAAAUGCGAUAAGUAAUGUGAAUUGCAGAAUUCAGUGAAUCAUCGAAUCUUUGAACGCACAUUGCGCCCGCUAGUAUUCUGGCGGGCAUGCCUGUCCGAGCGUCAUUUCAACCCUCAAGCCCCCGGGCUUGGUGUUGGGGAUCGGCGAGCCUCCGCGCCCGCCGUCCCCUAAAUUUAGUGGCGGUCUCGCUGUAGCUUCCUCUGCGUAGUAGCACACCUCGCACUGGGAAACAGCGCGGCCACGCCGUUAAACCCCCAACUUCUGAACGUUUGACCUCGGAUCAGGUAGGAAUACCCGCUGAACUUAAGCAUAUCAAUAAGCGGAGGA
rnacentral:misc_RNA from 1 species